ensembl:lncRNA
CAGUCAGCUGCCCUCAUUUUAGGCUGGGUUGUAGACUAACGUGAUUUCCCCGUGUGCAUGCAGCUCCCUGGAGAACAGGUUCUAGUGCUGUUCACAGCUCCCUCAGCUUUGCUGGUGCUGUAUUUAAGGCUGGAGCUGGAAGGCUGUGCUUGUGAAAUGGAAAGGAGAGAUCAGAAGAAAGGAAAGUGUGAGGACUGCUUCUGGUUGUCUCAAAAAGUAGAUGCUUGCAGGAAGGCAAAUGGCACAAAGACAUAGACGUUAAUGAGAAUUCUGUGAAAAUCAGAAGAAUUCGUGUAUCAAAAGGAGGAACCAUUGUCAGAGAUGUGGCGGAAGUAAGAAAGAGCCAUCUUUUGGUGUGAUUGAUGAGGGCCGCUUAUGAGAAAAAGUGAACUGGAAUGCCAGGCAACCAUGGCUUGUGAUUUAUGCAUAUUCGGGAAGAACGCUGGAACAGCCCAAACACAGAAGUUGUCAUAAUAGAUGCACAGCUCUUCGAGGACGGCAAAACAUAAAUCUAAAAGAACCAGGGGGAAAAAAAAAGUUCAGUUUUUUUAAAGCUGGCAUAAUUAUAACGGCGUUUCUGCCUGCGGUUUUACUAGAAAGCAGCAUCCACAGUCAUGGACUCAGAUGACUGACCUGUGACACAUCUCACGCGAUACACACACGUGAUACGCAAUGUAACGGUGGGCUGACCCAUACCGGGCGUACUUGCAGCGCUACUCUGCAAACCUCUGAGCCAGUCUGGGUGGAUGCAUGGCUGCUAAAUUGUUUAGAGUCUAAAUUCCAGUCCAUUUUUUUCUUUCUAUUUUUCUUUUUUAUUGUUUACAGCAUUGUCAAGUAGACAAUUUUCAACUGAAGCUUUCUCUACUGAAUAUUCAUUUUGUUAGGUCCUUUGAAUUAAAUCCAUGGAUCUACUUGCAUGGUUUUCAAUUACAGGAAAAAAUACCUUUUCUUUUAUGAUCUGCUAAGACCACCUCUGCUUUAGGGGCAGAGGAAUGCGUACCAUUAAGACUUGCAGAUGAAUGGAACCUUAGAAAAUCAAUUUAUUUAAGUUCUUGGCAAAUGCCUGUACUGUUGUAGUAUUCUAAGAUUCCUGUAGAUUUUCAUUCAGUGAUAUUUACUGCUGCCUACCUGCAUACAAAUACGGGAUUGUAGCAUAAUACUCAUUGAAAUUCUUCUGUGUUAACAAGCUUAUCAAUCAAAAUAAAAAUUAUUGGAUUUUGUAUGUUUUUCCUUACAGAAAAUUCAGUGACACAAAAUGUUCUUAUAAUUAAAAGCUCUUCAUUCUGUUAUUUAAUUUAG